CUACGGGCCGCAGCAGUGGGGAAUAUUGCACAAUGGGGGGAACCCUGAUGCAGCAACGCCGCGUGGAGGAUGACACAUUUCGGUGCGUAAACUCCUUUUAUAUAAGAAGAUAAUGACGGUAUUAUAUGAAUAAGCACCGGCUAACUCCGUGCCAGCAGCCGCGGUAAUACGGGGGGUGCAAGCGUUACUCGGAAUCACUGGGCGUAAAGAGCAUGUAGGCUGGUUAGUAAGUUGGAAGUGAAAUCCUAUGGCUUAACCAUAGAACUGCUUCCAAAACUACUAACCUAGAAUAUGGGAGAGGUAGAUGGAAUUUCUGGUGUAGGGGUAAAAUCCGUAGAGAUCAGAAGGAAUACCGAUUGCGAAGGCGAUCUACUGGAACAUUAUUGACGCUCAGAUGCGAAAGCGUGGGGAGCAAACAGGAUUAGAUACCCCAGUAGUC
rnacentral:rRNA from 1 species